rnacentral:rRNA from 1 species
UACGUAGGGUGCAAGCGUUAAUCGGAAUUACUGGGCGUAAAGCGUGCGCAGGCGGUUUGCUAAGACAGGUGUGAAAUCCCCGGGCUUAACCUGGGAACUGCGCUUGUAACUGGCAAGCUGGAGUGUGGCAGAGGGGGGUGGAAUUCCACGUGUAGCAGUGAAAUGCGUAGAGAUGUGGAGGAACACCGAUGGCGAAGGCAGCCCCCUGGGCUAACACUGACGCCUCAUGCACGAAAGCGUGGGGAGCAAACAGG